AGGGAUCAUUANCACGNUGACGCGNUGAUGGGACUGCGUAAGCUUGAUGGUAGCAAUACUGUCGAACCAUGGCUCUGUCCGCUGAGACUAACAAUCUUCCCUCCAAUAUAUUGCUGUCAUGCUCGUGGCCCGCUGCGGGACACGGGUGUGAUGGUAAUAUACCCCAAAUGUCUUGAAUCUACUGAUUUCCUCUUAAUCUUGCCUUGUAAGUGGUCUAGCCCUCGGGCUCUGAACGCGAGCAUUGUAAUUUUAAAACACGAACAAUUCGUGGCAAUGGAUCUCUUGGUUCUCGUACCGAUGAAGAACGCAGCGAAAUGCGAUAUGUAAUGCGAAUUGCAGAAUUCAGCGAAUCAUCGAAUCUUUGAACGCAAAUGGCACCCUCGGGUUAGUCCCUUGGGUACGCCUCUCUCAGUGUCGGUUUUAAACCUCUCUGGCCCUUGCUUGCUUCACGGCUCGCUUGGUUGCUGGGUAUAUGAGGGUCGCGGCCUCACGGUCGGAGUCCCUUUAAAGUCAUUGAGUUAUUCUACUCCUAGUUAACGCUUGCGUCGCAAUGCUAGCUAGCCAGUGUUGGGUAAUUGCCGCUUGCGGUACACUUUAAUACUGGUUGGUAUGCUUCGUAAGUUAGGCUGUAUGAAUAAUGUUUGCAAAGCGGCGAGAGCCGUGGCGCACAUGGAUAUAAUCCCAAGCGUGCUUCAGUGCUGCCUGGUCCUUCAUGUAAAAGACCUGAGAUGAGACGAGAUUACCCCCUGAAUUUAA
rnacentral:rRNA from 1 species